rnacentral:snoRNA from 1 species
AUCAGUGAUGAGAAGAGGGUCGUAUGAUUAGUGAUUAGCGCUGGAAAUUCUGAAA